rnacentral:rRNA from 1 species
AGGGUUCGAUUCUGGCUCAGGAUGAACGCUGGCGGCGUGCUUAACACAUGCAAGUCGAACGGGAUCCCAGGAGCUUGCUCCUGGGUGAGAGUGGCGAACGGGUGAGUAAUGCGUGACCGACCUGCCCCAUACACCGGAAUAGCUCCUGGAAACGGGUGGUAAUGCCGGAUGCUCCAGUUGGAUGCAUGUCCUUCUGGGAAAGAUUCAUCGGUAUGGGAUGGGGUCGCGUCCUAUCAGCUUGAUGGCGGGGUAACGGCCCACCAUGGCUUCGACGGGUAGCCGGCCUGAGAGGGCGACCGGCCACAUUGGGACUGAGAUACGGCCCAGACUCCUACGGGAGGCAGCAGUGGGGAAUAUUGCACAAUGGGCGCAAGCCUGAUGCAGCGACGCCGCGUGCGGGAUGACGGCCUUCGGGUUGUAAACCGCUUUUGACUGGGAGCAAGCCCUUCGGGGUGAGUGUACCUUUCGAAUAAGCACCGGCUAACUACGUGCCAGCAGCCGCGGUAAUACGUAGGGUGCAAGCGUUAUCCGGAAUUAUUGGGCGUAAAGGGCUCGUAGGCGGUUCGUCGCGUCCGGUGUGAAAGUCCAUCGCUUAACGGUGGAUCCGCGCCGGGUACGGGCGGGCUUGAGUGCGGUAGGGGAGACUGGAAUUCCCGGUGUAACGGUGGAAUGUGUAGAUAUCGGGAAGAACACCAAUGGCGAAGGCAGGUCUCUGGGCCGUCACUGACGCUGAGGAGCGAAAGCGUGGGGAGCGAACAGGAUUAGAUACCCUGGUAGUCCACGCCGUAAACG